GACGAACGCUGGCGGCGUGCUUAACACAUGCGAGUCGAACGGAAAGGCCCUGCUUUUGUGGGGUGCUCGAGUGGCGAACGGGUGAGUAACACGUGAGUAACCUGCCCUUGACUUUGGAAUAACUUCAGGAAACUGGGGCUAAUACCGGAUAGGAGCUCCUGCUGCAUGGUGGGGGUUGGAAAGUUUCGGCGGUUGGGGAUGGACUCGCGGCUUAUCAGCUUGUUGGUGGGGUAGUGGCUUACCAAGGCUUUGACGGGUAGCCGGCCUGAGAGGGUGACCGGCCACAUUGGGACUGAGAUACGGCCCAGACUCCUACGGGAGGCAGCAGUGGGGAAUAUUGCACAAUGGGCGGAAGCCUGAUGCAGCAACGCCGCGUGCGGGAUGACGGCCUUCGGGUUGUAAACCGCUUUCGCCUGUGACGAAGCGUGAGUGACGGUAAUGGGUAAAGAAGCACCGGCUAACUACGUG
rnacentral:rRNA from 1 species